rnacentral:rRNA from 1 species
UGGGGGAUAUUGCUCAAUGGGCGAAAGCCUGAUGCAGCGACGCCGCGUGGGGGAUGAAGGCCUUCGGGUUGUAAACUUCUUUUGCUCUGAACAAGGCAUGCCUUUGGGGUGUGUUGAGUGUAGGGGUUGAUUAGCGCCGGCUAACUACGUGCCAGCAGCCGCGGUAAUACGUAGGGCGCGAGCGUUGUCCGGAAUUAUUGGGCGUAAAGGGCUUGUAGGUGGCUGGUUGCGUCUGUCGUGAAAGCUCAUGGCUUAACUGUGGGUUUGCGGUGGGUACGAGCUGGCUUGGGUGCAGUAGGGGAGGCUGGAAUUCCUGGUGUAGCGGUGGAAUGCGCAGAUAUCAGGAGGAAUACCGGUGGCGAAGGCGGGUCUCUGGGCUGUUACUGACGCUGAGGAGCGAAAGCGUGGGGAGCGAACAGG